ensembl:Mt_tRNA
UUUUGAGUGCAAACUAAUACUGUAAGUAUUAAAAAGGUUCAAACCUCUCAAAACAC